AUUUUACCCAUAUGACAAAACCCACUCUCAUUUUAAGGAUCAGUGAGGAACCUGAGCACCACAGAAGUGGUAUAUAAGCUCUCUUUAUGUAGGUGAAGUUCAUUUGGGGCAGCGUAUCCCACAGGAUUCAGAGAGAGGGAUUAGUCCCUUUCUUUUCCCAGAAUAAUAGGGAGAAUAAAGCUUAUCAUCCAUCUGGGGGAUGUGCAGCCUGUCUUUGUGAGUUGCAACUGGGUUGUAAAUAGUUCUAGUGUAAAUCCUACAACGGGAUUAAAACAUGCAACUGGCAGUGGGAUAGUAUUUGUAGAGAAGCUACAAAUGAAUCAUUUCUUCAAAUACUUCAGGAACAGGAAAGAACUAGACUGUCUAAUAGUCCCCCCGGAAACCAAUGUGA